rnacentral:rRNA from 1 species
UGGGGAAUAUUGGACAAUGGGCGAAAGCCUGAUCCAGCCAUGCCGCGUGUGUGAAGAAGGUCUUCGGAUUGUAAAGCACUUUAAGUUGGGAGGAAGGGCAGUAAGCGAAUACCUUGCUGUUUUGACGUUACCGACAGAAUAAGCACCGGCUAACUCUGUGCCAGCAGCCGCGGUAAUACAGAGGGUGCAAGCGUUAAUCGGAAUUACUGGGCGUAAAGCGCGCGUAGGUGGUUCGUUAAGUUGAAUGUGAAAGCCCCGGGCUCAACCUGGGAACUGCAUCCAAAACAGGCGAGCUAGAGUAGGGCAGAGGGUGGGGGAAUUUCCUGUGUAGCGGUGAAAUGCGUAGAUAUAGGAAGGAACACCAGUGGCGAAGGCGACCACCUGGGCUCAUACUGACACUGAGGUGCGAAAGCGUGGGGAGCAAACAGG